rnacentral:lncRNA from 1 species
GAUAGAAUCUACAUAAACAGUAUGGUCCAAAUUUUCCACAAUCCAAUCCAACCAUAAAGAAGAAUCUAACCAUAAAAAUGAAACUGACUCAGUAUAAGUAGGAUGUGAUAUCUUCGAGUACUUAAUUCGCUUCACUUUCCUCGCGAACCCUUUCUUUUUAGCUUCAGCUAUCGCACUAUAUUUCUUAAUUCUACUCCAAACUAUAUCAUUUCUUUGUCGUUGCAUUUGAAAUCGAAACCAUCUCUUUCCAAGCCGCAACAAUUCUUCUUGACUUGAAAAAAACUGUUCAGAAUCUGGCUGAAGUAAGGUCAAAACAGUAAGCUUUCGAUUCAGCAGACUGUGGCAUUUUGUCGGGGUUAGCUCUGUAAUAAAAGGGGAGGAAACUAUGUUAAUCCACUCAGUAAUUCGUUUAUAAUCUCGAAACUCACGGGGUGUAAUUGCCUGAUAAACUAUUGGCAUUCCAUUGCGAACAGCAAUAAUGCUAGGCUGAGACUGUGCCCCAUAUUUAUUCGCGAGCGCCUUCGAAUUACAAAUGUAUAAUGGAGCAACACCAGCAAGCUGUAAUUUCAGACGUUCAAUGAUACUGAAAUCUUCUGAAGUAGUUGCAAAAUCGUAAAGCACCAGAAAGAAAACUGGGUGAGAGUUUUCGAUUGAUUCAAUGUCCCCUUCUUCGAUCUUUAUUGCUUGGUAACUUGCCACUUGGUUUGAAUAGGAUAGCAGCUGUUGAUACUUGAGAGGUCCAUUAUAUUGUAUGGAAUCGAACCCCUGAAACACCCUGAAGGUAGGAAACUUUUUAAUAUGGAAAUGAUUACACAUCUCCUUUUCUUCGUCGCAAUUAACUUGCGCCAUUUUUAAUCGCUCGUCGGUAUUACGAGUAAUGCUUGACCAAACAGCUUCCCAAUGAAAGCAAUCUUCACAGUGCUUCAAUGAAACAAACAUAACGAAUGCACGAGUUUUAGACAUAAUUUCAUUUCCAAAAAGAAACCUUUUAAAGUUCAAUGUCUCCAAAGGCCUCAAAAUACUCGAGUGUUUCCACGAUUGGUCUUCUUUCAGUUCAAAAGCAGGAUCUGUGCUACUGGAAUCACUAUUAUACUCACCAUCGUCACUGAAACAAUCUGUUUCAUUUUCAGCUUGCUCCAAAUCACAAUUACCCAAAUGGCUUUUUACAAAUUGUCGCGCGGAUUUUGUCGUAAUUUGAUUUUUUUCAAGAACGUGUCGCAUCCACAUACCAUUUUUUAGAACUACUACCUUUGGAUGAUCAUAUAUUUCCUGUUGAGCGCAAAAUUCUAUAUUGUUAAUAAUUAGUAAAAACUUUAAUUCUUAUGAUGUAUCUAUCCAUACCAAGGUCUAAAUCACAAAACACCUUUGCACGGCGUAUGUCAGGAAACUCCAUUGAAACUUCAUUCCAAAUAACAGAAAACUCUUCCUUAUCAUAUUUGCUUUCAGUGAACUCUACAAACCAAAAUGCAGUAGUAUUCAAGAUGGACGAAGCAUUGUGCGAACUAACGAUAAUCUCCUGCUUAAUUGAAAAAGCGUAACUAAAACUAAUAAUAAAGUAGUAGACUAUGAAAGUGAAAUGAUAAAGGAAGAGCUUCAUUUCCCUUUUUCGAGACAAUGGUUGGGAGUUUCCAAUGUUUACUAAAUCAUGCAGAGAAUGUGUAGCAUACAAAUGAAAACGUAAACAAACAUUUUCAAACAGAAGGGGGCUAUUUUGACACAAUCAAUAAUUCUUUUUAAUAAUUUAUCUUUUUGCAAAUUAGUCUUCGUGAAUGUGAUAAUAAAGAACUUUUUCUCACAUGAGGAAAAGCCGGCUAGAUAAGAACAGUGAAAUCCUUAGAAGCAAAAGAAAAAGGAAUCUAAAUGACGAACACGUUAAUAUAUUUAAACAACUCCCCUUGAGUUAUGGAAAAGGCUUUUCUCUAGAGCUGACUCGGUAAUAUUUUUUUUAGUAAUUUACAAUUGACAUUCAAAUUUAUCAGAUGUCACACAUUGAGGGCAGAAGCUAACCAUUUGUCCACAGUUUCUAAAAGAAUCUUUCUUGAGGAUGGUGAAAGCAUGUGGGAGCAAUCUGUAAGUUUUAAAGGAGUAGUUUCUGGGCAACGAUUUUUUAGUUUUGCCAGCGUCGUUUCAAAGGUUCCCUCUCUAGUAAACUCAUCAUUAUCAGGCCAAACAAACAAUACUUUUGAAUCAGUAGAAAAAGAUUCAAAGCCUAGCCCCCAAGACCAACUUAAAAUACUGCUUCCAAGUCCCAAAUACGGUGCAAGAAAAAGAUAUGAGACAUGAGAAAUGCGCUUAUCAAUUGCUAGGGUUAUAGAUUUAUGCAUACUGAUUCUUGCACCGUAAGAAUAUCCUCCCAACAAAAGAUAUUCCGGAUGAUUCAAACUAGUUAUAUACUUCACAAACAAGGUAAAUAUCAUCGUAUCAUGUUUACCACUCAGCAAAGCAGAACGUCUAGUUGUAGCAUCAAGGACGUAAACAGUGAAUCCUUUGGAAUUUAUUUUUUUUGACAAGGCAAUGAUAUUGAUGUCGUCAACGGAGCCACCAAGAAAAGCAUAGGGAUGAGCCAAAACUGCGAUUUUGGUAGAGUCAGCUUUGUAACAUCGAAAACGAAUUUCUUGAUUUUCUAUGACUUUAGUCGAUAUUUCAAUGUUUUCACCCAUAGAAUAUCUAUUCGGGAAUUUUACUAAUCGGUGAACUACGUUCGUUAGUAAAACUAAAAACUUGAUUGAAACUUCAAAUUUUCAAAUAGUUUACUGAAUACAGAGCUUAUUUAGCUUACUGCUCGAAAUUAAUAAUUCCAAACGUCAAACUGAUUUUAAUAAGUAGUAAUGAUGAAGAUGUUAGUUGUAUAUGAUGACAA